UACGGAGGAUGCGAGCGUUAUCCGGAUUUAUUGGGUUUAAAGGGUGCGCAGGCGGCACGGCAAGCCGGCGGUCAAAUCGCGGGGCUCAACCCCGCCCAGCCGUCGGAACUGCCGGGCUAGAGUGGGCGAGGAGUGCGCGGAGUGCGUGGUGUAGCGGUGAAAUGCAUAGAUAUCACGCAGAACUCCGAUUGCGAAGGCAGCGCACCGGCGCCCUACUGACGCUCAGGCACGAAAGCGUGGGUAUCGAACAGG
rnacentral:rRNA from 1 species